rnacentral:rRNA from 1 species
GGUAAUUCCAGCUCCAAUAGCGUUAUAUUAAAGUUGUUGCAGUUAAAAAGCUCGUAGUUGAAUUUCGGGAUUGACACAUCGGUCGUGCCUUAAGGGGUAUGAACUGGUGUAGUCAAUUUCUCACCUUCUGGAGAACCGCGAUGCCCUUAAUUGGGUGUCACGGGGAACCAGGACCUUACUUUGAAGAAAUUAGAGUGUUUAAAGCAGGCAUUUUGCUUGAAUACAUUAGCAUGGAAUAAUAAAAUAGGACGGCAUGAUUCUAAUUUUGUUGGUUUCUAGGAUCACCGUAAUGAUUAAUAGGGAUAGUUGGGGGCAUUAGUAUUCAAUUGUCAGAGGUGAAAUUCUUGGAUUUAUUGAAGACUAACUACUGCGAAAGCAUUUGCCAAGGAUGUUUUCAUUAAUCAAGAACGAAAGUUAGGGGAUCGAAGACGAUCAGAUACCGUCGUAGUCUUAACCAUAAACUAUGCCGACUAGGAAUCAGACGAUGUUAAUUUUUUAAUGACUCGUUUGGCACCUUACG